rnacentral:rRNA from 1 species
AGGUGAUAUGAACCGUUAUAACCGGCGAUUUCCGAAUGGGGAAACCCAGUGUGAUUCGUCACACUAUCAUUAACUGAAUCCAUAGGUUAAUGAGGCGAACCGGGGGAACUGAAACAUCUAAGUACCCUGAGGAAAAGAAAUCAACCGAGAUUCCCCCAGUAGCGGCGAGCGAACGGGGAGGAGCCCAGAGCCUGAAUCAGUGUGUGUGUUAGUGGAAGCGUCUGGAAAGGCGCGCGAUACAGGGUGACAGCCCCG